rnacentral:rRNA from 1 species
CGGGGAAUAUUGCGCAAUGGGGGGAACCCUGACGCAGCCAUGCCGCGUGAAUGAAGAAGGCCUUCGGGUUGUAAAGUUCUUUCGGUAUUGAGGAAAGUUGAUGUGUUAAUAGCACAUCAAAUUGACGUUAAAUACAGAAGAAGCACCGGCUAACUCCGUGCCAGCAGCCGCGGUAAUACGGAGGGUGCGAGCGUUAAUCGGAAUAACUGGGCGUAAAGGGCACGCAGGCGGUUAUUUAAGUGAGGUGUGAAAGCCCCGGGCUUAACCUGGGAAUUGCAUUUCAGACUGGGUAACUAGAGUACUUUAGGGAGGGGUAGAAUUCCACGUGUAGCGGUGAAAUGCGUAGAGAUGUGGAGGAAUACCGAAGGCGAAGGCAGCCCCUUGGGAAUGUACUGACGCUCAUGUGCGAAAGCGUGGGGAGCAAACAGGAUUAGAUACCCUGGUAGUCCACGCUGUAAACGCUGUCGAUUUGGGGGUUGGGGUUUAACUCUGGCGCCCGUAGCUAACGUGAUAAAUCGACCGCCUGGGGAGUACGGCCGCAAGGUUA